rnacentral:misc_RNA from 1 species
CUUGUCGGCGCUGUCGGCGUAGACGAUCCCGCCGAACUUCGGCCGCCCGCCGUGCGGGUCCUUCAGCAUCCCCCGCGCGUUGGCGAUCACGCCGACGGGGAUCCCCUGGAUCCGCGCCGUCCCGCAGAUCAUCUCCGGGGCGUAGUCGGCCUGGAACUCGUCCAGGUUCCCCGCGU